ACUAUAGUCCAACCGAGAGUGAUCUUCGGUGAAUGUUAUUCAACAUGAGUAAUAUUAUGUUUGUGGACAAAUGCCACUAACAUUUAAGUGAAUUAACCUCAACAACUUUGUGAUUCUUUCUUCUUUCCAAAAGAAUAAAGAUUCGAACAUUUCGCCUCCAUACAAUUUUAACAAGAAGGUAUUGGAUCCGGAUCUAACGAUCCAAAGCAUCCUUGUUUCACCAACUCGUAACUUAUGUUUUAGAGGUAUCACAAUUUAGUUGGGAUUAGUCACUACCUUGCAACGUUUUGGGUUUUAAGCAUCAUUAUAUUCUAAACAGUUAACACUACCAUAUCAUCUCUACUAUAGAGACAAUAAAUUAGAUUACUAUAAUCCAAUUUCUUUGGUAGUUCAUAUGAGGAAGUAAGUACUAUCUGUUUUCACAGAGAUCUACAUUUGAUUCACGUUUCGUAUGUGAAGCACCUUUUCUUCUCUCAUAUAUCUUCUACUUCUUAUUAGUCACACUUUUACAACGAUUUGUAAAACAUAGUUACUAAUACGGAAUCAUACAUUCAAGUAGAAGAACCAACUGUUUUGAACUUUUCAAGAACAUUUUACAACACUUUCGAAAAGUGUGUCCUUGACACUUGCAAGACAUUUCUUGCAAAUACCCCUUCCAAUG
rnacentral:lncRNA from 1 species